UGUUUUUUUGGUUUUCUUUUUUUUCCAGGUCUCUUGAAGUGCUGUGUCUCUCCAGCUCUCCAGAUCUGGGAAAAUCAUAGUUGAUAAAAUGUCCACCUCCCAGUCAAAAUUGCUGCCAUGACUCAGAGCUGCAGCAUCAUGAGCUGUUUAUUCCUGGCUCUUCCUUACAAACCUUGCUCUCAAAUGAGCCUCUUGAAAGGACUAAAUGGGAAAGCACCAGAUGUAUGACAUCCUCAAAGAGCUCCAGCAGCCAGGGGAGGACCAGGGGCUGGCACCAGCUUCUGCCUUCCUCUCACCAAGCCCAAAACCACACAGUGCUUCAUGCCUGGGUAUUUCUGAGACCUCUGCAGAGCAAAAAGACCACGCCGUUCCUUUCAUCCAGCAAUGCUGCUGAAUGCUCCUGAAGCGUUGACAGCUGAAACCCAUCUCCCUUUCACUCCUCUAUAAUUUCUGAGCAAGGAUGGAAAAUUAUAAGCCACAGCCAGUGUUAAAGUGUAAAACCAAUUCUGGAAAGCACGGCGGGGGCAGUGCUGUGUGCACUCCCCGCUCAUGCUUGGAUACCAGCUCCUCCAAGGACAACUUCUCCUUUGCCUGUCUCACAUUGUACCAGACAACAACUCUGGCUUUUCAGACCUCCCAGCUGGUAGCUCAGUCUCACUGCAUGAAGCAGCCAGUGCUUUUCAGAAAGCGUCAUUGCACCACUUGCAAUGACCUCAAUUUCUGCUGAGCUGCCUCCAAAGCAGAAGUCAAGCCAGAAAAGACAAAAAUCAUGACAUGACCCUGAAAGCAUAAUCUCCAAACACAUGACAUGCACCAUCCCCUUACCUCCAAACCCACCGUAUCUCAUGAGGACACACAAGAGAAACAAUCCAAUGUUCUGGAAUCUAUUUUGGAGUCAGGAUCUCUGUUCAGCCAGACUGAGCACUCAGAGCCACAUCGCUGCCCAAGGGCAGAGUUUGGUCCAUUGUUUCUGUCUCCAGUGUCUGGGUUCUGGAUGUUUUUUCUGGACAUGUUUUGGGUAUGCACUUAGGGCAGAGAUGAAGCUGUUUGGCUCCUGAGUCAUUUGGCAUUGUGGACUCCCUAUCAGCAGCUGCUGGAUGUGAGCCAUCCCCAACAUGUUCAGGCACAGUCCUUGAGAAUCCAAGCAGGUAUGGCUGGAGGCUUAUCAUUCAACCUCACAGGAUUUCUCUAUUGCAGCUAAAGCUAAGCAUUUGGCUGGUCGGAUUAACCCUUGCUGGCUUUGUGAAAUAGACUUCAUUGAAAACAAGCAUCUUUCUCUCACCUUUUAAUUUCUUCUGUGGUGUGGAGACAGCUGUGGAUCAAUGAAAGUGUCCUCAUCGAUCACCCUGGAUGUUUUUUGUUGGACAGAGAAUUGAAAUACUGAAUCCUUCCUCUGCCAGUCCUCCCCAUGGUGGGGGAUGAAACAUUUCCCAAUUUCCAUCAGGUUUUGUGAGGUUUAAUCCCAGAGGAUACAGCCUCCCAGCAGACUAAGUCAGUCUCAUAAAUACAGCUGAAAAUUGACCCUUGUUUAUCGCAAUUUUCCCACCAUCAGCAUCUUUGAUGACUCCCGUUGUCCUUCUCCUCCCCUGCCCCCCACCUCUGGGGUUCAUACCAAUCAGAUGUGCUUGUACAUACAUAAAAAUAAUUCAAGAUUGAAAAAAGUUUGUAUUUAAAAGUUGAGCCUUGUACUGUUGGAAUUAGACUCUAAUUAGGUCAGUUGUGUUCCCCUGGUAGGGUAAGAAUGAUAGUGUCGGAAAACAGACAAUUUAUAAAGACCCAAAAAUAACUCAUCCAUGCUGUUUUGUAAGAAAGAUGUGUUUUCUUCGCCCUGUGCUGAGGACAUUGCAGUCAAGGCCACUUGGGCACACUGAUAGCAGCCACACACACUGCAGCUUGGUCCCACAGGCAAAGCUGGCCUGUGCCUCAAUUUUCUCCUACUACAGGUGGGAUAUUCAUCCUUCCCAAUUUGGCAGGGCUGUGCUGAGGUCACCUGUGUUUGUCAGGCAUUUUGUUACUCUUGGCAUGAGGCCCCAGGUUAUAUUACACAGGCUCUUUUUCCCAAGUUGCCUUUUAGCCUUAUCUACAGCUUCUGUGAAAUGCACAAAGGGCACAAACUCAGAUUAAGGAGGCUCAGGGUAAAGAACAAGUCCUUGCAGCUGCUUUUCUAGGGUGUGUGUCAUCAGCACAAAGGGUGCACAGAACCCCUUGGAAGUUGCACAAAGCAGGAAUUACCUUUGAGUGACACCAUGGGUGUUGGUCCCUUCUUCCUCUGAACACAUUUUUGUCACACAACCAUGGUUUGCUGCUUCCUUGUUCCUCCACAGGCAGGUGCUGAUCCUCUGAUUCCACAAGACUUCACAGGUUUCAGCGCUGCUGACAAAUCUGCCUUGUAAAGCCUCAAAGAAUGACUUCACACAUCAGCCUCGUCUGAUUUAGGAUUACCCUAACUCGUUAACAAAUGGUGAUGAACGUGCCAAUUGCCUACUUCAUGAAGGUUUCUACCAGGCUGGGAAGUCAGCGGCCACACCGCCUUGGCUUGGAGGGGCGUGCCUGGCAUUUCUAAGUCAACAAGACAGCAAAGCUAAAGAACUCCUGAGCACCGUGAAAGUGAACAAAAACCCAACAAAAAACAUGUAUUCACAUAAAGUUCCUUUUGAUUUUGUGGGAAAUGCAGGUUUGAAAUGAAAAUAAUUAGUGAGGCAAGAGGAGGAGAGGAAAAAUAAUAAAAACAAGAGGCAGGCAUACAAAAUAAAAAACAGAAAAGAAAAGGAGUGAAGAGAAAAAUAAAUAACCCUGGAGCAAAAACGCAGAGGGAAAAAGAGGGAACAAAAGAGACAAAUGGCAGGAAAAGGAUCAGGAAUGAAAGCCCAGAUUACUCGAUUCAGUCAAGCCACUGCUUGUGCUGUUCAGGGCAGGGCGGGAAGCCAAUCUGUUUUCUCUGGUAUUGUUUAGGCUACGAAUACCGUGGCAGAUUUCCCAUCCACUCCCAUGUUUAUGUCUGUGCUCCAAUCCUAGCCACAAAAACGUGUGGGGGAAACACAUCCCGAGAGGAGUAAGGGCUGGAAGCUGGAGGAUGAUACACUUUGGAGCCAAAUGGGCUCAAAAAAGCACUUCUGCACCUUAUGGCAAUUUUGCAGGAUAAUGUCUCGUUCACGAGAUGCUGUGGCGGGAGGAUUUUCAUCUUCGAAAUGGGUACAGUGAUACCUCUGGGUUAUUACAAGCUCCCAGCUGCAAAGGGCUGCCUGUAUUUACACAACACUGCAUUAUUUAUAAUAUCCUUUUCAGGAGCAAGAGAAUAUGAGUUUUUUCCUUCACAGUUUGACUAUUUUUUUUCUUCCCUUCUCCCUCUUGGAAAACAUUGAUUUCUUGCCCUCAUUUCUCCCACCAGAGCUGUAGCUGACCUGACUGUGUUUAGUUUACUUCUCUAGGCCAGAUGCUCAGUGGGUGAAAAGCACAACCAACCACCCUGGAAUAACAGAGCUGCCCUGAUUUUCUCCAGCUGGGAUCUUGUCCUGCCUCCCCAACAUCUGCACGUUUGUGGGAACUGAUUAACAACUGCUACAACACUGCUGAGGAGGGGACAAAGGGAUAAAAAAUGUUGGCCUCUGGAUGUUCUGAGUGGGUUUUGACUCUCCUGUACUAAGGAUCUGAGGAAGUUUAUUGCUGCAAAAUAAUAAAAUAUUUAAGACUGAUCAAAUUUUGUGUGGAAACUAUUUGAGAGUGUCAGCUUAGCUGAGAAGCAGCAGGGGUUGUAAGAUUUUACAGUCCAGAGCAAACAGUGAGGAAUUUCAGUCCAUGUUACAUUCUCAGUGUCCUGAGCCAUUAACUCGUGAGCAUGCUGGCAAGGAACCCAGAAACUUCUUCAGCAACAGAAGAGUCUGGAAAAAUCCUUUUUUUCCCUUCUACAGAACAAAUGUACCAAGGACACAGAUGUUUCCAAAAGGGUUCUUUUAAUCAGAAGCAAGUUUGCAAAAGAAGAAGUAACUUUCUCAUAUAAAAUAGUGGAGUGGUGAAGGUGAGGCUAACAAGAGGUGUGGAACAAAAAUCCAGGGCAAAUCUCCAAGGAGACACUGAAUCAAAAGCAAUGAUCCCAUGACCGGAGUACACCGAAGGGUAGCUCAGACACAGCUGUGUGAGGUGGUCCUACCCCAUAGCUGACAGCAGAUACCAAAUCAGAGGAUGGACUCCAGCCCAAGAGAGGCAAAGUGACCAGCUACAAACUCACCAGAAUAUGGGGUUCUUGCACCUUUCUGCUACCUGAGAGCUCCCACUGCACUGUGACAGGCCCCAGCACGGCCCAGGGGUGUAAUGACAUCAAAGGAAGCCCUGGUGGCACUUCCCUCCUGCAGAACACCACCAUUCCAUGGUAGCAGAAAUUCCCAAAUCUAGUGAAUUGGACACAAAUGGGAAAACACCUUGAUAUAAAGCUCUGUAACCCCAUUCCUGUCUCUGUAUCCAGUGAUUCAAGCCUCAAGAAAGUGCACAGUGAUCAAACAGCAUUGAAAGAAUGAAUUUCCUGUCAAGUCUUGAGGCCCCAAGGCCAUUUAAAGUGGGCAAGUGGCAGCUUUGAGAAGAUAAAAUUCUGAGUCAGAGCCUGAAUCUCAAGUGCUAAUGGUACUUCGCUCCUUGUUCAAACAAAUCUCACCUGUCCCAGGUGUCACUUGUGUGCUUAUCCAUUGUGGUUCUCUUCUGUUGGGUGCAGUGAACUCUACACCUGCACAAAGUGCAAGGCAGCUUUCUUUUUCUGGGAGUGCAGGGGGAGGACAAAAGGAGUACAGAAAUACAAACAACAGAAAGGACUGGAGGUGUCCAAGGCCAGGCUGGAUGGGGCUUGGAGCAACCUGCUCAUAGUGGAAGGUGUCCUUGUCCAUGGCAGGGGGGUUCAAACAAGGUGAUCCUUAAGAUCUCUUCCAACCCAAACCAUUCUGGGAUUCUUUGUCUUGUCAGGUGGAGGCAUUUCAGGCCCAUCAUGUUCAGUCUUGGGGUGAACAUGCUCCUAAUUCAAGGGUGGUUUCCUUAAGGAGUAUUCAAUGGAUUUUGCAGAACAACAUCAUUACACGUGUGCCUUUGUUUGAACACCACACCACACCAGCAAACGUUUCCUCUCCUCCAGUAACCUCGUAGCUUCUAGGAACACCUUGAUAAUGUGUGGAUACCACAUGUGCUGGCAACAACCCAUAAAAGCAACCUCAGGAAUGUGACUGAACCAGCAGGAAGUCCUGGCUGAGUGGAGCUCUCUCCAGUACAACCUGCCCAUGUCCCAGCAGAUCUGUAGUUCUUCCUUUCCAAACAUCACCCCUCACUGGGUGUGUCCUUCUGGCUGCUACUGGUACAGGAGAUCAGUUAAAAAAGGAGGUCUUGGCAUCUCGAUCACUCUUACACAUCACAGGCUUCUGGACUUUAAGAUUUCUAAUGCCUCUGCCAGAGGUUAUCUUUCUUAUGUGGUUGUUUGCUUUCUUUUAAAGUUGCUGAUAAAUUCCUUUUCUAAAAGGAUUUUCCUCCAACCAGUUGUCCUGUAUAUCUGAAAGCAAUGUGUGGGAGAAGACACCAGUGCUCUCUAUGUAUAAAGAUCUCUCUCUCCUCCCUUUUUGGAAAGCAGAUUAGAUAAUCUUUGGAUGACCCAAUGGAUUUCUUGAGGGAAGCAAUGGCAAGGAUAAUAAAUGCAUCCCCAUGUCAAGAUAUUUAGUCCAAACAAUUGCUACACAGCUUCUGGCAGAGACCUUGGUAUAAGGAAGAAAAAUGAGAUCUUGGCCCAUAUGCAAAACAUCAAUGGUUUUAACACUCAAAAUGAAGAGGGAAAAGAAAUCCUUUUGAGUAAUAGAUUAAUUUCUUUUCUGUGGGUUUUUCUUUUUUCUCUCCAGUCAUGCCAACUGUUCCCAAAAGUGGGAUCACUGGCCAAAGUGUGAUUCCUUUAGCAACUGCUGAUGAAAGCCUUUGCUCUCACCUCUCCCUGCCCUUCCCAUGAAGGCAGUCCACGUGUGACUCUCAGGGCAGGGAAUAAGAGACUGUCACUGAUGAAAGCAAAGGAGUGCCCUCUCCUGUCCCUUGUCACCACUGCCAUUUGUACCUGCACAGCGCUGGCCCUGCCCAAACAUCAGAGCAUUAAAAGGCAGGAAUGGAAAAUAUUCCACCCAAUGGUGUGGGCCAUGGUGGAGACACACCACGUCUGACACGGAUUUUGGAGGGGAUAAAA